UGGGAAGGAAGGUCGUGGACAACAAAGUAAUGAACAAAAAUAUGUUUCACGCAUGAGAAGCUGUCCGAGAUGGCAGUGAGGGAGAGGUCAUGGCAAACGGUGUUUAUGGCAUGGAAAAGUGAAGAUUCAAAAAAAAACCCAAGGAGAGGCCAAGAUAGUGUGGAAAAUAUCCACCCCCUCCCAGAGACAGCUCAUUAGGAAGGUUUUGGAGGGAGACUCGCAGGAGGUCAGGGGCUGCUGUGUUAUCUUUGGAGGAAAGGCCAUCCCUUCUCUUCCCCUCCGCAGACGUAUCCAGUGAGACAACUCUCUCCCCAGCAAGCUUUUCUCAGGGAGCAGGCAGUUUCUUGAAAAAAUGAACCAGAUGAGGAUCCACCCACCUCCAGAAACAAAGACUGUGGCUGUCUCCAAGAAUGAAGCACCAGUCUCUUAGUUGUGAGUAGGUAUUACAAAUAUAAUCAGGGAAAAGAAGCUAUUUUAAAAAAUCGGUCAUUGGGCAGGAUGUUCCAAAGGGCAGAUGAAUGUAACUUCCAAGAUGAAGUAACCGGAUGUCUGUCAACUCAGAAAACAAGGUAAAUUGUAACCACUGAAAGUCCGCUGUUUCGAUUCUGGGCAAGAUGCUAUGGCAGAACAGGGACCAUGAUGAACUACUUAGAAAAAUACAUAAGGCCAUAAAUAAUGUGUGAUUAUUUGAUGAAUGCCUGUCUCUCCCACUGGGACCAUCAGCUUAGAAAAGAAAUGAUGUGGAUGUGCUCACCAAGUUAUUUGCAGAGCUUAGCAGAGUGGGAUAGAAGAGACCCAUGCAGGAGACCUCUCCAGGUACACAUAUUUCCUGCUACUGAAUGGCUUAGACUGGGAUUUGCAAGGAACUACGAAGUCCAAGACCUUUGCCUUUCUUUUAGAAGAAGGCACCAGCUGGUUCUCCAAUGUUGAAGGUCUUCUCCAGAGAUACCUUAAGGUGUGGGGAGAUUACAACUUGCUCAAGGUCUCAUAGCUAGAAGAUGUCAGAGUGAUAACUCAAACCAUGUCACAUGACUCUAAGCCCAAAGCAGCCUCUAGAAGGUUGUUUGAUCUUCUGAUGGAAGCACAAAUCACCAUUCCAACAUGAAAGAUGGAGAAACUUAAGUCUAGAGAGAUUUAAAGGACUUGUCAAAGGCAAUGAAACAAGUGGAACUCUGAAAGCCACAUGUUGAGAUGGCCCCAUUACAGGAUGGAGAGCACCUGAACCCCCAAGUUAUGGACUAGAAGAAGACAGUUGCCCUGGAAAAUCAUCUGACCCACAUUGGACUUUAUGUGAGGGGGAAAUAAACCUUUAUUAUGUUAAGCUACACA
ensembl:lncRNA LINC00511 long intergenic non-protein coding RNA 511